CCUACGGGUGGCAGCAGUGAGGAAUAUUGGUCAAUGGACGCAAGUCUGAACCAGCCAAGGAGCGUGCAGGAUGACGGCCCUCCGGGUUGUAAACUGCUUUUAGUUGGGAAUAAAAGGGGGCUCGUGAGCCACGUAUUGUAUGUACCAUCAGAAAAAGGACCGGCUAAUUCCGUGCCAGCAGCCGCGGUAAUACGGAAGGUCCGGGCGUUAUCCGGAUUUAUUGGGUUUAAAGGGUGCGUAGGCGGAAUGCCAAGUCAGCGGUAAAAUCGCGGGGCUCAACCUCGCUCCGCCGUUGAAACUGGCGUUCUUGAGUGUGCGAGAAGUAUGCGGAAGGCGUGGUGUAGCGGUGAAAUGCAUAGAUAUCACGCAGAACUCCGAUUGCGAAGGCAGCAUACCGGCGCCCAACUGACGCUGAAGCACGAAAGCGUGGGUAUCGAACAGGAUUAGAUACCCGUGUAGUC
rnacentral:rRNA from 1 species